AUCCGGAUGAGGAGUCUGAAGUGGGACGAAACGCGCGUCCUGGAU
rnacentral:hammerhead_ribozyme from 1 species